rnacentral:rRNA from 1 species
GAGUUUGAUCCUGGCUCAGGACGAACGCUGGCGGCGUGCUUAACACAUGCAAGUCGAACGGAAAGGCCCUGCUUUUGUGGGGUGCUCGAGUGGCGAACGGGUGAGUAACACGUGAGUAACCUGCCCUUGACUUUGGGAUAACUUCAGGAAACUGGGGCUAAUACCGGAUAGGAGCUCCUGCUGCAUGGUGGGGGUUGGAAAGUUCGGCGGUGGGGAUGGACUCGCGGCUUAUCAGCUUGUUGGUGGGGAGUGGCUUACCAGGCUUGACGGGUAGCGGCUGAGAGGUGCCGGCCAC